rnacentral:rRNA from 1 species
UCCUUUGAGACCGGCGCACGGGUGCGUAACGCGUAUGCAAUCUACCUUGUACAGGGGAAUAGCCCAGAGAAAUUUGGAUUAAUGCCCCAUAGUAUAUAACCUUCGCAUGUUGGUUAUAUUAAAGUUCCAACGGUACAAGAUGAGCAUGCGUCCCAUUAGUUAGUUGGUAAGGUAACGGCUUACCAAGACGAUGAUGGGUAGGGGUCCUGAGAGGGAGAUCCCCCACACUGGUACUGAGACACGGACCAGACUCCUACGGGAGGCAGCAGUGAGGAAUAUUGGUCAAUGGUCGCAAGACUGAACCAGCCAUGCCGCGUGCAGGAAGACGGUCCUAUGGAUUGUAAACUGCUUUUAUACAGGAAGAAACCCUCCCACGUGUGGGAGCUUGACGGUACUGUAGGAAUAAGGAUCGGCUAACUCCGUGCCAGCAGCCGCGGUAAUACGGAGGAUCCAAGCGUUAUCCGGAAUCAUUGGGUUUAAAGGGUCCGUAGGCGGUCUUAUAAGUCAGUGGUGAAAGCCCAUCGCUCAACGAUGGAACUGCCAUUGAUACUGUAAGACUUGAAUGCUUAGGAAGUAACUAGAAUAUGUAGUGUA